rnacentral:rRNA from 1 species
AGGAUGAACGCUGGCGGCGUGCUUAACACAUGCAAGUCGAACGAACCUUCGGGUUAGUGGCGGACGGGUGAGUAACGCGUGGGAAUCUGCCCUCAGGAGGGGGAUAACGGCUGGAAACGGCCGCUAAUACCCCAUAUGCCGAGAGGUGAAAUGAAUUUCGCCUGAGGAUGAGCCCGCGUCUGAUUAGCUAGUUGGUGAGGUAAGAGCUCACCAAGGCAUCGAUCAGUAGCUGGUCUGAGAGGAUGAUCAGCCACACUGGGACUGAGACACGGCCCAGACUCCUACGGGAGGCAGCAGUGGGGAAUUUUCCGCAAUGGGCGAAAGCCUGACGGAGCAACGCCGCGUGAGGGAUGAAGGCCUCUGGGCUGUAAACCUCUUUUCUCAAGGAAGAAGAUCUGACGGUACUUGAGGAAUAAGCCACGGCUAAUUCCGUGCCAGCAGCCGCGGUAAUACGGGAGUGGCAAGCGUUAUCCGGAAUUAUUGGGCGUAAAGCGUCCGCAGGCGGCCCUUCAAGUCUGCUGUUAAAACGUGGAGCUUAACUCCAUCAUGGCAGUGGAAACUGUUGGGCUUGAGUGUGGUAGGGGCAGAGGGAAUUCCCGGUGUAGCGGUGAAAUGCGUAGAUAUCGGGAAGAACACCAGUGGCGAAGGCGCUCUGCUGGGCCAUAACUGACGCUCAUGGACGAAAGCCAGGGGAGCGAAAGGGAUUAGAUACCCCUGUAGUCCUGGCCGUAAACGAUGAACACUAGGUGUCGGGGGAAUCGACCCCCUCGGUGUCGUAGCCAACGCGUUAAGUGUUCCGCCUGGGGAGUACGCACGCAAGUGUGAAACUCAAAGGAAUUGACGGGGGCCCGCACAAGCGGUGGAGUAUGUGGUUUAAUUCGAUGCAACGCGAAGAACCUUACCAGGGUUUGACAUCCUGCGAAUCUCUUGGAAACGAGAGAGUGCCUUCGGGAACGCAGUGACAGGUGGUGCAUGGCUGUCGUCAGCUCGUGUCGUGAGAUGUUGGGUUAAGUCCCGCAACGAGCGCAACCCACGUCUUUAGUUGCCAGCAUUUAGUUGGGCACUCUAGAGAGACCGCCGGUGAUAAACCGGAGGAAGGUGUGGAUGACGUCAAGUCAUCAUGCCCCUUACAUCCUGGGCUACACACGUACUACAAUGCUACGGACAAAGAGCAGCAAGUUCGCGAGGACAAGCAAAUCUCAUAAACCGUGGCUCAGUUCAGAUCGUAGGCUGCAACUCGCCUACGUGAAGGAGGAAUCGCUAGUAAUCGCAGGUCAGCAUACUGCGGUGAAUACGUUCCCGGGCCUUGUACACACCGCCCGUCACACCAUGGAAGUUGGCCACGCCCGAAGCCGUUACUCCAACCCUUGUGGAGGAGGACGUCGAAGGUGGGGCUGAUGACUGGGGUGAAGUCGUAACAAGGUAGCCGUACCGGAAGG